UUUGGUAGGUGGAAAAUGCCUACCGGGAAUUGCCCCUCCAAAUGCUCGAAGAACGAGAGAUGUGAGAGAAGACGCAUUCACCAAUGCAUUAGGCAUUGUGGAGCCUAUCUCUACCCAACCAAGAUGAAGUUGUUUUAUGUUGGUCAAGUUCUGAACUAGGCUUCCAAAGUUGGCCAUUUUGAGAUGAGACUCGUAAGUAGUAGACAGAUCAAGGGCAGACAGCUUGGAUAGAUAUGAAAUUUGUAAUGGGAUUUGGCCAGAAAAUGAAGACAUUGAAAGGUUGAGAUAUGUUAGACUAGUAAGAGCAUGGCCUAACCUAGAUGGUAUUUGAGAGAAGCCGAAGUUAUUGUCGGAGAGGUCAAGCCUCUGCAACUGAACAAGUUGAAAAAGACUGCUGCUGGAGUUGAUGGAACCAUGAAGAUAGCUGCUGGCAAGGUCAAGGCCAACAACAUGGCCAGAGUCAUCGUUGCAUUCAACACCAUCCCAUGAACAACAGUUGCUCCUUUGAGGAUCUACUUCUAGCCUACCCCAAGACGCAACCUUUGGAUAAGCAAAGGGUGUAAGAACCUAAUUGGACAUAUCAUCUAAUAAUAAAGUUUACACAAUAUUUAUGUGAUAUCUUGUAAAUGAAACAAAGGACCAUAUAUACAGUAAAUCGGUAACUAUGAUAUUGUGAUUAAUAUUAUAGAUUAUGAGCCUAACUAAAGAUAUUAUACAUAUCUUAAAAGGUAUGGAAUUAAGUGACUUAACUACUAAGGAGGUGCAUAUGGUAAGUGACAUAUUCUCUAUGAUGGGUGGAUUUUGUCACCUAGCACCUAUAUAAGUCAAGGUCCCUGUUCUUCCAAAAUCUACAUGUUCGUAAAGUAAUCUCGCCCCAUUGAGAGAUAGAACAGACCAUAGUUGGAGAGAGCAGAAGACUUUGUCUUUCCCAAUCCUUGCAAGAAGACGAUGGACGCCAUAAGUAUAUACUCUUAUUCAUCAAACAUAUAUAUAUACUUUGUAUCUCUAUCACUAUGCAGAUUAUAACGUGUUCAUAUAUCAUAUUGUUAUGAUCUUAUAUGUGGUAUCAGAGCCACACUGCAUAUAUAGAGAUCAAUAAAAAUUUACGGUUGUUUUCUCCCAUUUGGACCGCUUUGAGUAAAUAAAAAGUUAAAUAAAAUUUUUGGGGCCUGUGCUUUGCACCAAACGGUGCGUUUUUGGCUUAAUUGAGAUAAAGAUGAUAAAACCCUUUUGGGGUGUUCUUCCGCUGUGCAUUCGACAAACCCAUUUUUGGGGUUUUUUCUCUUUUCUUUUUACUCAAAAUCAAGCAAUCGAUUUUCAUGCUUUAUCAUCUUGAAACCCACAUCAUGUCCCUCUUAUUCUUCCACAUCAAUGGGUUUUCUCAUCUACUCCUUCGUCAUGAAAUUUUGAAGAUUAGCAUUUGAUUUCUAAUGUCUUGAUUGUGUGGUUGGAUAUAAUCAGAAUGGUAUGUAUCUUACUUUACCUUGCAGGGACAAAAGCUCAGGUAUUUGUAUUAGUUUAGCAAUUUUUGCUAAACUAAUUGAAUUAUGCAGAAUUGUCUUUACUGAUGAUGUUUGAGCUAAAUGUUAUUGCAGCUAUAUAUGCUUGUCUUUUGCAAUAUAUGUUUUGUUUGAUGUCUACUAAAGAAAUCGAAAACUUCACACAUAACUAUUCACGUCAUAAGACUCAAAUAAAACUUUGGUCUAGUUCUAUGAUACCUCAUAAUGAUUUUAUCUUGCCAUACAGGUGUUAAAAUUGUUCAGGUUUCUUGGUUCAUGGUUAUAAUGUUAGACCAAAAUUGUGAUUUUAGAUUAUGAUAUAUGUACAUUCUCUUGCCAUACAGGUGUUAAUUAUGUAUAUCGUAGUCUAAAGUUAGCUCAUCAAAGGAAUUUAGAACACUUAAAGGAAUCUUAUCAUCUUGCUCACAUGCGUUGAUAAAAUUUAAAGUUCUGUGCUCUAUAAAGCUUGUGGUGUGAUAAAGAACUCAAGGCACUAUUAAAUUUCUUGCACACAUGUGUUAUUUAGUAGUGCAACUAAUGAUUGGGGUUAUUUUGAACAAUUUUGUGCCUUCUCUGGAUUGUUUUAUUGUUCAUUGUAUGACAUGUUUAGGAUAAUUUACUUAAGGCCUAUUACAUGUUUUACUUUACAGUUUCUUCUGCGCUUAUGACACCAAUAGAAAUUCUGAGUGCUACCAACUUUAAGGGGUGGAAGAAUGACAUAAGGGGAUCAUGGACCUCGAUUUAGCCUUAAGGGAGGAUCAGCCUGUGAUCACUCCAACUAGUACCAAUGCUCAGAAGUUGAAAGCUGAGAAAUGGGAGAGGUCCAACAGGGUGGCGGUGUUUUUUAUGCAGAAAUACAUGAAUGAGACUGUCCGAGGUAGCAUUGCAGAAACUGAUGAUGCCAGGGCUUAUCUAGCAGCAAUAGCACAGAAGUUUCAGGCGUCUCCUUAGGCAGAAGCAACAAACUUGAUGGGGGCGCUGUAUAAGGCACAAUUUGAUGGAGAAGGAAGCGUUAGGGCACAUAUAAUGAAGCUGAUUGAUAUAGGGAAGAAACUUUCUGCCAUAGAGAUUCGACCCCCUGAUCCUUUUCUUAUCAAUUCUGCUCUUGAAUCCCUUCCAGAGGCCUAUAGUCAGUUAAAGGUCAGCUACAAUACCCAGAAAGAUAAAUGGCCUGUGGAUGAGCUUAUUGCGCACUGUGUGCAAGAAGAAGCUAGGCUGAAAAGGGAGAAGGAGAAAUCUGUCUCUGUCCAUUUAGUUACUCAAGGGAAAGCUGCUGGAUUCCACAAACGUCCAUCUCAUCAUGCCAAAAGUGCUCCUCCAAAGCAAAACUCCUCUUCAUCCAAAGGAUCUCAGAACCUUAAGCCAAAACAAACAACUGUUUUCAAAUGUUUUUUUUUGCAAAAACUCUGGCCACAUGAAGAGGAAUUGCGCAAAAUAUAAGUCGUGGCUAGAUAAGAAGGGUACAUAUUCUGUUUACUCCAUCUCAGGGCUUUGUCUAGGUUCACCUCAUGUUUUUACAAUAAUUGAGUCAAAUCUGAUUUCUGUUCCUUCAAAUUCCUGGUGGUAUGACACCGGUUCUCCUGUUCACAUCUCUAAUUCCUUGCAGGGCUUCGUAAGCCGGAGAACUCCAAGUAGAGAUGAAGUCAAAGUUUUCGUAGGAAAUGGAGUCAAAGUUGCUGUUGAAGCCAUAGGAAUCGUUCACCUUAAGUUAGAAUUUGGUUUUGUUUUGAUUUUAAAGGAUGUUUUGUUUAUUCCUUCAAUGAGAAGGAAUUUGCUUUCUCCUGUCAGACUUGUUAAGGAUGGUUUUCGUUUUACUGUUUCUGAAGAAAUAAAGUUUUUCCUUGAUUCAAAUUGUGUUGGCAGUGCCUAUCUUCAAGAUGACAUGUGGGGUAUAAGAUGUUCUUAUUCUGUUGAUACUUAUCUUGUAGAGCAUUCUAUAGGAUCCAAAAGAGUCCAACUUAAUGAAAAUUCCUCUUUCCUAUGGCAUAAGCGCCUAGGACACAUAUCCAAAAGACGUCUUCAACAGCUUGUUAAGUCUGGGAUACUUCCAGACUUAGAUUUCUCUGAUUUGGCAAUUUGUAUUGAUUGCAUAAAGGGUAAAAUGACAAAUUCUAGAAAGUUAGGUUUUACACGUAGUUCCAAACUUCUAGAGCUUAUCCAUACGGAUAUUUGUGGUCCGUUCAAUGUCAAUACCAUCUGUGGAAAAAAGUAUUAUAUAACCUUCAUCGAUGAUUUUUCGCGGUAUUGUCAUCUUUACCUUCUUUCUGAAAAAUCUCAAAGUCUUGAAGCCUUUAAAAUUUACAAAACUGAAGUUGAAAAACAGUUAGAGAAAUCCAUUAAGGUGGUUCGAUCCGACAGAGGAGGAGAGUACUAUGGCAAAUAUGAUGAGACUGGACAACAUAAGGGUCCGUUUGCAAAAAUUUUGGAGGAAUGUGGAAUCAUUGCACAAUACACGACACCGGGUACACCAGAACAGAAUGGGGUUGCUGAACGUAGAAACCGUACAUUGCUGAACGUAGAAACCGUACAUUGUUGAAUAUGGUUCGAAGCAUGAUCAGCAGGAGCGACUUGCCUAUUUUCUUGUGGGGUGAAGCACUUAAGACUGCGAAUUAUAUCUCCAAUCGUGUUCCAAGCAAGGCUGUUGACAGAACACCUUUUGAAAUCUGGAAUAGUCGAAAACCAAGCCUUAUGCAUUUUCGUACCUGGGGAUGCCCUGUAGAGGCCCGUCCUUACAAUCCAGAUGAAAAGAAGCUAGAUUCUAGAACUAUUACUUGCCAUUUUAUUGGCUAUCCUGAUAAGUCCAAAGGUUAUAAGUUUUAUUGUCCUAGUCACUCUACUAGGAUAAUUGAAACUAACAAAGCCAAGUUUCUGGAAGAUAAUAUGCCAUCUUCUGUUCAAGACCUUGUUUUGGAGGAAGAGGGUGAAGAAGUUGUUCGAAAUCCAGCAAAAAAUAGUACUCCAGCUGUUUCUGCUGUAGUAUACCCUCAGGUGCCUCAAGAACCCCAUGUCCUUGAUGACCAGAUUGUUGAUAAUCCCAUUAAUUUCGAACAACAAGAUCUUCCUCCAAAUGAAGCAGCCAUAGUACAACCCGAAGCUGCUCCAGAAGCUGUCCCAUUGAGGAGGUCUGAAAGAGUUCGCAGGUCUGCAAUCUUUGAUGAUUAUGUAUUGUUUAUUCAAGAAGUAGAACCUGAAAACUUUUGUACAUAUCUUCAAGAAGUUGAUUUUGAUAUUGGCGAAGACAAUGAUCCAGUAACCUACAACCAAGCCAUUAAUAGUUCCCAAUCAGCCUUAUGGACAGAAGCGAUGCAUGCAGAGUUAGAGUCCAUGAAAGACAAUGAAGUGUGGGAGCUAGUUGAACCAAACCCAGAUGUCAAGCCAAUUGGGUGCAAAUGGGUGUUUAAAACGAAGAAAAACGCAGAUGGGAGGAUAGAAAGAUACAAGGCUAGGUUGGUGGCGAAAAGUUUUACUCAAAGAGAGGGGAUAGACUACCAUGAAACGUUUUCACCGGUUUUAACCAAAGAUGCGUUUCGGAUGAUCAUGGCAUUAGUAGCUCAUUAUGACAUGGAGCUACACCAGAUGGAUGUCAAAACAGCAUUCCUUAACGGAGAAUUGGAAGAAGAAAUUCAUAUGAAGCAGCCCCAAGGUUUUGAGGAACAAGGGAGUGAGCAUAUGGUGUGUAGGCUCAAGAAGUCCAUUUACGGCUUGAAGCAAGCUUCAAGGCAAUGGUACUUGCAGUUUGAUUCAGUUGUGACUGAAAAUGGUUUUGUGUAGAAUCCUUUAGAUGAAUGCAUUUAUUUUAAGGUAUGUGGGAGCAGGUUCAUUGUAUUGGUUUUGUAUGUAGAUGACAUUCUGUUGGCUAGUACAGAUAUGAAACUGCUUUUAGAGACCAAAUCCUUUUUAUCUCAGUCUUUUGAGAUGAAGGAUCUAGGGGAAGCAUCUUUUGUGUUGGGCAUCAAGAUCACAAGAGAUAGAAAACGGGGGCUGUUGGGAAUUUCUCAAGAGAGUUACAUAGACAAAGUGCUGAGGCGUUUUUCUAUGGAAAACUGUUCUGGUGGAGACUUGCCUAUGAGCAAAGGUGACAAGUUCAAUAAAUCACAGUGUCCUAAGAAUGAUUUUGAGAAGAAUGCCAUGAAGAACAAACCGUACGCUUCACUUGUAGGAAGUUUAAUGUAUGCUCAGGUUUGUACUCGCCCAGAUAUUGCUUUUGCUGUUAGCAGGCUUGGUAGAUAUCAAGUCAAUCCAGGAGAGGUUCAUUGGACAGCGGGCAAGAAAGUGUUGAGAUACCUGAAGAAAACAAGGGACUACAAGUUGGUGUACAGGAAAAGUGAAUCAUUAGAUGUUGUUGGGUAUUCUGAUUCAGAUCAUGCAGGUGAUAAGGAUGACUUAAAGUCUACUUCUGGUUUUGUUUUUCUAAUGGCUGGUGGGGCAAUAUCAUGGAGUAGUUCAAAGCAAACAGAGGCUACCUUGUCUACCAUGCAAUCUGAGUUCAUUGCACUAAGUUAUGCCACUACUCAUGCUGUUUGGUUAAGAGAUCUCAUUCGUUGCACUCAGGUUGUUCCUAGCGUAGAAAGACCAAUGCCUAUUUUCUGUGAUAACUCUGCUGCAGUUUUCUUUGCUAAGAAUAACAAGAGGUCUUCCAGCUCAAAGCAAAUAGAGUUGAAAUUUCUUCAUGUAAGAAAGAAAACUGAAGAGAAAAAGGUAGUUAUUGAAGACAUUAGGACAACAGAAAUGAUUGCUGAUCCCCUCACCAAACCAGUACCGGUUAAAGUUUUUAAUAAGCAUGUUGCGGGCAUGGGAUUAGCUGAUAGUUUUGAUUCCAUAGCUUAGUGGGAGCAUAUUGAUGUACAACUUUUGCCUGUUUGUUUCUUUUGUCUACAGAUUCUAGUUUAUUUUGGCUGAUGCAAUUUGAUACAAUUUGAUUGUUACUGAUUAAUAAGAAUUGCAUUGUCAGUUUUGCAAUUGUUUAAAGAUUAUUUGAUUGCUGGUAUCUAACAAUUUAUUGCUGCAGCUCAAGUCUUGAAUAGCUAUUUGAAAGAUCUUUGUCUUCUGGUAUUUGACAGAGAAUUGGAAUGUGUUCUUCUUUUGGAAACACAUCAGCUUCAGUAGAAGCAUAAAGUAUAAAGGGCUUUAUCUACAAAGCCAUAAGGUGAGACCAUGAUAUGAGACAUUCAGUAAUCACGUUCAGUUGUUUUAUAUCAAAAAUAUUUCUAUACCUUGUGGUGACUCAUGUGAAUACAAGUGCUGAUACUAUGGACAUAAGGUGCUAUGCAGAUUGUUGCAUCAGAUUUCUUAUGAUCUGGUAUGAGUGGCUGUGUUUGACAGAGUCUUGAAGUUGGGUUAUAUUGUAAGUAUUGUCCAUGUCGACUAAAGAUUGUUUUAUUUGGUUUUGGAUUCAUAUGGCUAUUGUGUAUUAUAUGAUUGUCCAAGUGGGAGAAUGUAAGAACCUAAUUGGACAUAUCAUCUAAUAAUAAAGUUUACACAAUAUUUAUGUGAUAUCUUGUAAAUGAAACAAAGGACCAUAUAUACAGUAAAUCGGUAACUAUGAUAUUGUGAUUAAUAUUAUAGAUUAUGAGCCUAACUAAAGAUAUUAUACAUAUCUUAAAAGGUAUGGAAUCAAGUGACUUAACUACUAAGGAGGUGCAUAUGGUAAGUGACAUAUUCUCUAUGAUGGGUGGAUUUUGUCACCUAGCACCUAUAUAAGUCAAGGUCCCUGUUCUCCCAAAAUCUACAUGUUCGUAAAGUAAUCUCGCCCCAUUGAGAGAUAGAACAGACCAUAGUUGGAGAGAGCAGAAGACUUUGUCUUUCCCAAUCCUUGCAAGAAGACGAUGGACGCCAUAGUUAUAUACUCUUAUUCAUCAAACAUAUAUAUACUUUGUAUCUCUAUCACUAUGCAGAUUAUAACGUGUUCAUAUAUCAUGUUGUUAUGAUCUUAUAUGCAUGCCAUAAGCAAAAACCACAACAAGGAACAUAUACUAGUGACUUUUCAAAAAUAAAUUAUGGCAGUUAAUGUCAUGCAUAGUGCAUCGUAUACUAAGUUUCUUGAUACCUUGAUAUAUGCAGGUUGAUUAACAUGUGGUGGUAAUCAAUAUAGAUGGGUUAAUAAUGCUANNNNNNNNNNNNNNNNNNNNCUAUAUAUGAUAUUAACUAGUUAACUUGCAUUACUUUCUGCCUACUGCAUGAGUAACUUGUAAUAUGUAAUAAUGCAUUGUAAGAACCUAAUUGGACAUAUCAUCUAAUAAUAAAGUUUACACAAUAUUUAUGUGAUAUCUUGUAAAUGAAACAAAGGACCAUAUAUGCAGUAAAUCGGUAACUAUGAUAUUGUGAUUAAUAUUAUAGAUUAUGAGCCUAACUAAAGAUAUUAUACAUAUCUUAAAAGGUAUGGAAUCAAGUGACUUAACUACUAAGGAGGUGCAUAUGGUAAGUGACAUAUUCUCUAUGAUGGGUGGAUUUUGUCACCUAGCACCUAUAUAAGUCAAGGUCCCUGUUCUCCCAAAAUCUACAUGUUCGUAAAGUAAUCUCGCCCCAUUGAGAGAUAGAACAGACCAUAGUUGGAGAGAGCAGAAGACUUUGUCUUUCCCAAUCCUUGCAAGAAGACGAUGGACGCCAUAGUUAUAUACUCUUAUUCAUCAAACAUAUAUAUAUAUAUACUUUGUAUCUCUAUUACUAUGCAGAUUAUAACGUGUUCAUAUAUCAUGUUGUUAUGAUCUUAUAAAGGGAUCUUGGGAAGCAGACUUGUCUAUGGCAAAACUAGCUUUGAAUUGCAACAAGGCAGAGCGGCUCAUUAUCUUGGCAAAGUGUUUGGACCUGAGCAAAAGAAAAACAGCAUGCAGCAUUCAUGAAUAACAAGAGGAUAGAAUAAUGCACAGAAUACAAGUCACACCAGGAUGAGCCAAUUCCCUUUCCCAUGAAAUAUUCUGUUUUCUUGGUAUAUGCGUAUGUAGGUAUGUGGAUUUCACGUAACAGAGAACUUGAACUUCCCUCCUUUAUAGACAAAGAACAGAUCUUAUUUCGUGAGCUGGGA
rnacentral:lncRNA from 1 species